CAUUUCCUACGGGGCGCAGCAGUGGGGGAUAUUGCACAAUGGGGGGAACCCUGAUGCAGCGACGCCGCGUGGGUGAAGGAGCGUUUCGGCGCGUAAAGCCCUAUCGGCAGGGAAGAAGGAGGACGGUACCUGACUAAGAAGCCCCGGCUAACUACGUGCCAGCAGCCGCGGUAAUACGUAGGGGGCAAGCGUUAUCCGGAUUUACUGGGUGUAAAGGGGGCGGAGACGGCAGCGCAAGCCAGGAGUGAAAGCCCGGGGCCCAA
rnacentral:rRNA from 1 species